rnacentral:pre_miRNA from 1 species
AUUAUACUUCCUUCGUCCCAAAAUUUUUGUCUUAAAUUUGUCCAAAUACGAAUGUAUCAAGUCACGUUUUAGUAUUAGGUACAUCCGUAUCUAGACAAAUCUAAGACAAGAAUUUUGGGACAGAGGGAGUACUUG